rnacentral:rRNA from 1 species
UACGCAUCCUUUGCUGAGGAUACGGUUAACGGAGCGAAAGCGACGUUCAACCUCAAAAGAAGCAGAGGGGGCUUAGUGGUGGGGUGACUGCGUACCUUUUGUAUAAUGGGUCAGCGACUUAUAUUCUGUAGCAAGGUUAACCGUAUAGGGGAGCCGGAGGGAAACCGAGUCUUAAUUGGGCGUUAAGUUGCAGGGUAUAGACCCGAAACCCGGUGAUCUAGCCAUGGGCAGGUUGAAGGUUGGGUAACACUAACUGGAGGACCGAACCGACUAAUGUUGAAAAAUUAGCGGAUGAYCUGUGGCUGGGGGUGAAAGGCCAAUCAAACCGGGAGAUAGCUGGUUCUCCCCGAAAGCUAUUUAGGUAGCGCCUCGUGAACUCAUCUCCGGGGGUAGAGCACUGUUUCGGCUAGGGGGCCAUCCCGGCUUACCAACCCGAUGCAAACUGCGAAUACCGGAGAAUGUUAUCACGGGAGACACACGGCGGGUGCUAACGUCCGUCGUGAAGAGGGAAACAACCCAGAC